CCUACGGGGGGCUGCAGUGGGGAAUAUUGGACAAUGGGGGCAACCCUGAUCCAGCCAUGCCGCGUGUGUGAAGAAGGCCCUCGGGUUGUAAAGCACUUUCAGUGAGGAAGAACGCCUGGUGGUUAAUACCCAUCAGGAAAGACAUCACUCACAGAAGAAGCACCGGCUAACUCCGUGCCAGCAGCCGCGGUAAUACGGAGGGUGCGAGCGUUAAUCGGAAUUACUGGGCGUAAAGCGCGCGUAGGUGGCUUGAUAAGCCGGUUGUGAAAGCCCCGGGCUCAACCUGGGAACGGCAUCCGGAACUGUCAAGCUAGAGUGCAGGAGAGGAAGGUAGAAUUCCCGGUGUAGCGGUGAAAUGCGUAGAGAUCGGGAGGAAUACCAGUGGCGAAGGCGGCCUUCUGGACUGACACUGACACUGAGGUGCGAAAGCGUGGGUAGCAAACAGGAAUAGAUACCCUGGUAGUC
rnacentral:rRNA from 1 species